UUGAAAUGUUUCAAUUUUGUAUAUUUUAUUAAUUCAAUUUGAAUAUGAACAAACGCACAUUGCAAGCAAGCAUGGCGAAACAAUUGAAGGUGGUCUCAUUUGUUCAACAACCACAAAUCCUAUGGUGCAAUCCGCCAUCUUGUUAUCAAGCUGAUCGACGUUUUGCCAACGUACAUAAAGAAAGGUGGGUGUAUGCGUAUGCGUAAAUGAGUAGAGAAUAUGCGAGAAAGAAGUUCAAAACAAAGAGAAUGCAAACAAAAAUCUGACAUCCUAAUACCAUCAAACGUAGCCGACUGUUAAAUGUAGAAUAAAUGUAAAGAAGCAUAUAUGCUCAUUACCAAACGUAUCAUUUGACAUUAUAAAUAUACAAAGCAUACAAUUAUCAAUAUUAUUAUAUAAUUAACAAUAAAGGUGGCCGCAGAUCUUUAAUAGGGCACAACAAUUAUACCUCAAGUGCAUCCGGCUUCAAAGGCAAGUUGGAGAAAUACGCGAUGACACUCUUCUCCGAUAUUGAGGGAGCAUUUUACAACGUAGAAAUAUGAUUGAUAUUUAUUUGGCCCGCCGGGUCAAACAAAUUUUCUCUGCUACAUGACAGGAUUAUCAACGUGGACUUCGGAGAUAGUGUGGGUAUCAAUUGGCCAGACUGGAAACCCGAGUACCGGAGUGAACUCCCGCUUUCAUAAUGGGCUACAUAUUCCACACAUUUUUAGUUUUAUAAUUUGUUCAAACUUUUAAUUUUAAACACUACCAAAAUCUCAAUGAUA
rnacentral:sRNA from 1 species